AGUGAACGCUGGCGGCAGGCCUAAUACAUGCAAGUCGAACGGCAGCACAGCAGAGCUUGCUCUGUGGGUGGCGAGUGGCGGACGGGUGAGGAAUACAUGGGAAUCUGCCCAGUCGUGGGGGAUAACGUAUGGAAACGUACGCUAAUACCGCAUGCGCCCUACGGGGGAAAGUCGGGGACCGCAAGGCCUGACGCGAUUGGAUGAGCCCAUGUUCGAUUAGCUAGUUGGCGGGGUAAAGGCCCACCAAGGCGACGAUCGAUAGCUGGUCUGAGAGGAUGAUCAGCCACACUGGAACUGAGACACGGUCCAGACUCCUACGGGAGGCAGCAGUAGGGAAUAUUGGACAAUGGGGGCAACCCUGAUCCAGCCAUGCCGCGUGUGUGAAGAAGGC
rnacentral:rRNA from 1 species